UGUAUUUGUAGUCUGCAUUUGUGUGUUGCUAUUGCUUUAGUUACUGUCAUGGAACUUGCAAAAUAUUUUUAUAAAGAAACUGAUAAAACACACAGGUGCAAAAUCAAGGUGACUUACUACGUGCACAUGAUAAAAGAAAGGAACGAGGUGUCGACUGGUGGUGAGACUGGAGGAACCUUUGUGAACCAGUCAUCUCAUCGUCCUCAGCCUAGAGCGAUGCCACUUUGUAGAAUGAGACCCUUCUCCUGACACAGGGAGGGUAGUCCUCCCCCAACCUUAGCAACCCGGACUCCCUACCUACCUACCUACCUACCUACC
rnacentral:lncRNA from 1 species